rnacentral:rRNA from 1 species
UUUAGAUGGCGACCGGCGCACGGGUGAGUAACACGUAUCCAACCUGCCGAUGACUCGGGGAUAGCCUUUCGAAAGAAAGAUUAAUACCCGAUGGCAUAGUUCUUCCGCAUGGUGGAACUAUUAAAGAAUUUCGGUCAUCGAUGGGGAUGCGUUCCAUUAGGUUGUUGGCGGGGUAACGGCCCACCAAGCCUUCGAUGGAUAGGGGUUCUGAGAGGAAGGUCCCCCACAUUGGAACUGAGACACGGUCCAAACUCCUACGGGAGGCAGCAUG